ACGCACGCUGGCGGCAUGCCUAACACCUGCAAGUCGAACGAGACCUUCGGGUCUAGUGGCGCACGGGUGCGUAACGCGUGGGAACCUGCCCUUAGGUUCGGAAUAACUUCCCGAAAGGGGUGCUAAUACCGGAUAAUGUCUUCGGACCAAAGAUUUAUCGCCUUUGGAUGGGCCCGCGUUGGAUUAGCUAGUUGGUAGGGUAAAAGCCUACCAAGGCGACGAUCCAUAGCUGGUCUGAGAGGAUGAUCAGCCACACUGGGACUGAGACACGGCCCAGACUCCUACGGGAGGCAGCAGUGGGGAAUAUUGGACAAUGGGCGAAAGCCUGAUCCAGCAAUGCCGCGUGAGUGAUGAAGGCCUUAGGGUUGUAAAGCUCUUUUACCCGGGAUGAUAAUGACAGUACCGGGAGAAUAAGCUCCGGCUAACUCCGUG
rnacentral:rRNA from 1 species